UCCCAACACUCUGAAUGUCCAGGACAAAG
rnacentral:piRNA from 1 species